GACAGAGGCCCCAAGCGUUAGGCGGAAUCACUGGGCUUAAAGCGUGUGUAGGCGGACGCCUAAGUGUCUUGUGAAAUCCCACGGCUCACCCGUGGAACUGCUGGGCAUACUGCGCGUCUUGGGCCAACUAGGGGCAGCCGGAACAAGCGGUGGAGCGGUGAAAUGCGUAGAUAUCGCUUGGAACGCCGAAGGUGAAAACAGGCUGCUGGGGUUGCGCCGACGCUGAGACACGAAAGCCAGGGGAGCAAACGGG
rnacentral:rRNA from 1 species